AUUGAACGCUGGCGGCAGGCCUAACACAUGCAAGUCGAGCGGAUGACGGGAGCUUGCUCCUUGAUUCAGCGGCGGACGGGUGAGUAAUGCCUAGGAAUCUGCCUGGUAGUGGGGGACAACGUUUCGAAAGGAACGCUAAUACCGCAUACGUCCUACGGGAGAAAGCAGGGGACCUUCGGGCCUUGCGCUAUCAGAUGAGCCUAGGUCGGAUUAGCUAGUUGGUGAGGUAAUGGCUCACCAAGGCGACGAUCCGUAACUGGUCUGAGAGGAUGAUCAGUCACACUGGAACUGAGACACGGUCCAGACUCCUACGGGAGGCAGCAGUGGGGAAUAUUGGACAAUGGGCGAAAGCCUGAUCCAGCCAUGCCGCGUGUGUGAAGAAGGUCUUCGGAUUGUAAAGCACUUUAAGUCGGGAGGAAGGGCUGUAGGCUAAUAUCUUGCAGUUUUGACGUUACCGACAGAGUAAGCACCGGCUAGCUUCGUGCCAGCCGCCGCGGUAACAC
rnacentral:rRNA from 1 species